GAAACAUAUGUACAUACCAUUUCUGCUCUUCCAUCUAACCCAUGUGAUUCCGUUCAUUAACAGAAAAUACAAAAAAAAAAAAAAAUAAUAUAUCUAUUGUUCGUGCAAUAACCUCGACAUGGUAGCUAAUCUAAAUGUUUUGUAAGGCAUGCUUUUGAUGUCCAUAGCUAGGGAAUUAUACCAUUUGCUGAUGUUGUAGGUAAAAGAUCUUUCAUACAUAGCUGUGGCGUGCGAGGGAGGUGUAAGCAAACCUUUGUUUCUCAAAUUUAGCGUAUGUACAUCAGUUCUGUAUUUUAAUUUGCGGUAUAAAUAGGUGGGUUGAUUAUUAACUAAAAUUUUAUAAUACGUGCUAGCAGCAUGUCCAGCUCUCCUAUUAUGCAUAUUUAACCAUUUUAGAUCGAUCAACUUGUGACUUACAUGAUCAUAUUUCCUCAUUCCGAAAAUCAAUCUCACACAACUAUUUUGUACUUUCUGCACACGUUUGUUAUCAAAACUAGUUAAACAAGGACCAUAUACUACAUCCGCGUGGUCAAAUUGUGACAAAACCAAAGAGGAGCAGAGAAGCACACGAGUAGACCAAUCCAAGCAAUUCCGCAUAUGAUAUAUCGUUUUAAGCGACGCAUAAGAUUUUCUAAGACAAGAUGAGAUGUGUGGUGUAAAUCUUAGAGCGGAGUCAAUAUCAACACCAAGAUUCCUAACCGUGUCAGCUAGUGGUAUCAGAGUCCCACAACAAGUUACCUUGAUGUCAUUCAAAGACUUGAGUCGAUCGGUUUUUUUACCAAACAAUAUCGCCAUGCAUUUGGUUGGAUUUAACUGUAGACAGUGCUUAAUGGAAAACUAUUCAAUGUUAUACAAGUCAUAAUUGAUAGCCGCUAUUGCUUGUUGAACUUCGGUUGGAUAGAAGGAUAAAUACAAUUGAGUGUCAUCUGCAUAGCAGUGUAAUGUAGACGAGGAGGAAUAUAAGUGCAUUUGAGAAACAUAUAUACAAAACAACAUAGGGCCUAGUACGGACCCCUGCGGGACUCCAUUUAGUACGGUUUGGUAGGAGGACAAUUGAUUUUCAUAUUUCACAGCUUGCGUCCUGAACGAUAGUAUUGAAACGAGGAGUUGGUGGUUCAGCAUAUCGAAUGCCUUGGUAAAGUCUAAUAGCACCAAAAGUGACAACUUGCCGAGAUCACUAGCCGUUAAUAUGUCUUCAGUUAUCUUUAACAGCGCAGUAGUGCAGCUGUGGUUAGGUCUAAAGCCAGAUUGGCACUCCGGAACACUUUGGAAAGUACGGGCAAAACACUAAUGGGACGAAUAUGUUUAAAGUCAGUCACCUCAGAGGUUUUGCGUAUAGGGACAACAAUUGCUGGUUUCCAGGAUGAAGGAAAUACCCCAUUACGCAUGCAGUAAUUGUAGAUGUGCGUUAAAUAUGGUAACAAAAAGGGAAGACAUAAACGAAUAGUUAAAAUAUUAACGCCGUCAUAUCCAACAGCUUUACUUUUAAUGCCCAUAAUAGUAUUUAGCACAGUGACUUCAUCAACCGCCCUAAAAGUAAAUUCUGUGCAAUUUUCCUAACACCUGUUAUUAUUGUAAAAUAGCAAUAAAUCCUUAUCAGGUUGUAAUGAAGCAGUGGACUGCAGAAAGUGAUUAUUCAGAGCUUCCACAUCAGUAAAAUGAUCCGGCAAGAUGACAUUAUUAUUGGACCUAAUAUUAAGUUUUCUGAUUUCUUGCCACAUCCUCCUGCUAUCGGAAGCACUUAGCACUGUUUUGUAAUAAGCCUUUUUUUCCUUAGCAAUAGCAGAAUUGACGUAGUUGCUUGUAAGACACCCAGUCUACCUCCAGUUUACAACGUUUAUAGCGAGAUAGUGCAUUGUCUCUAGUUCUCAUCAUUUCCUGAAUGCAUGGCGUUAACCAAGGAGCAAACUUUUUGGUAAUGCGAUAGGUCCUGAAUGGAGCAAACACAUUUAAAAGAAUUUCCAAAUUAUGAUUAAGAAAAUUAAUCUUGCUGUCAACAUCUGGCAGAUCAUACAUUACCUUCCAAGGGAUAGCACGUAAAUGAUCGUAAAAUGCUGUGCGAUUAAAAUUUCUAAAAUCACGCGCAGUUUUAAAAACUGGUUUGCGACUCAAACCUUUAAAAGUAAGAAAGCACGAUACCAACUCAUGGUCACUUAUGUGGGAUACAUUAUCAACCCUCACCAUCGUGACGUGCUCAGGGUUAGUGACUAAAAUGUAAUCUAUGAGGGUAAUUGACUGGUCUGUAAUUCUAGUGGGCUCUGUAAUUAGUUGGGUUAAUCCCAAUCCUUGGAACGUAUUGAGGGCAGUUAGGGCACAUGUAUCGAGAGGUGGAAGUAAGUUAAAAUCGCCUAAACAAUAUAUCUCAUCGGCGCAUGUUAAGACUUCAGCUACUGAGGACUCAAAAACAUUGAAAAAAUCGGUAUAAGAUGCAGUUGGAGCUCUGUACAUAACUGCUAUAGCUAAAUUGGUACGAUUUAAGCGAAUUUUAACCCAAAGCUGUUCGAUAUCCUUUGAUGAAUUUAUAAUGGUAGGAUUGUACUUACUCAAUACAUAAAGUGCUACACCUCCCCCACGACUACCUCUAUCUUGAAAUAGACAAUCAAUUUUCCAAGCAAUUUUCUGAAAACUCCUACGUGCUUAAAGUUCA